CGGACUUUCUUAUGCCUCAGUACGGCGAGUGAAGCGGCAAGAGCUCAAAUUUGAAAGCUGGCUCCUUCGGAGUCCGCAUUGUAAUUUGCAGAGGAUGCUUUGGGUGCGGCCCCCGUCUAAGUGCCCUGGAACGGGCCGUCAGAGAGGGUGAGAAUCCCGUCUUGGGCGGGGUGUCCGUGCCCGUGUAAAGCUCCUUCGACGAGUCGAGUUGUUUGGGAAUGCAGCUCUAAAUGGGUGGUAAAUUUCAUCUAAAGCUAAAUACUGGCCGGAGACCGAUAGCGCACAAGUAGAGUGAUCGAAAGAUGAAAAGCACUUUGAAAAGAGAGUUAAACAGCACGUGAAAUUGUUGAAAGGGAAGCGCUUGCGACCAGACUCGCCCGCGGGGUUCAGCCGGCAUUCGUGCCGGUGUACUUCCCCGUGGGCGGGCCAGCGUCGGUUUGGGCGGCCGGUCAAAGGCCCCUGGAAUGUAGUGCCCUCCGGGGCACCUUAUAGCCAGGGGUGCAAUGCGGCCAGCCUGGACCGAGGAACGCGCUUCGGCACGGACGCUGGCAUAAUGGUCGUAAACGACCCGUCUUGAAAACCGGACCAAA
rnacentral:rRNA from 1 species